rnacentral:tRNA from 1 species
GAGCGUAUAGCUCAGUGGUAGAGCACAUGCUUAGCAUGCAUGAGGUCCUAGGUUCAAUCCCCAGCACCUCCA